rnacentral:tRNA from 1 species
CCGCUCUUAGCCCAGUUGGAUAGAGCGUCAGACUCCGAUUCUGAAGGCCGGGGGUUCGAGUCCCCCAGAGCGGGCCA